rnacentral:misc_RNA from 1 species
UAAACUUUAUUUAAUAAUUCUUAGUGCUACGAUAUGUUAAUUAUUCGUAAUUUUUACUUUUAAAUAAAAUAUAUCCUUUUUCGAAGUUAUUUCAUGUUAGUUUUACAUUUAUGAUUAUUGACAAAAUAUUUUUGUUCAACUCGAAAAAGGUGCAUCAAAUUUUGAGGCUAGAACUUGAGGUGAUAUUCAUUGAUGAGUGUACUUAAUCGAGAAAGAAAUAUGCCUACUUGGAAUCAGAUCCAAGCUCAGCUGCGCAAUCCAAAUAAUCCAGUGGUAUUUUUUGAUGUAUCAGUGGGUACGAAUGAAAUUGGUCGUAUGAUAUUUGAGCUUUUCGAAGAUGUAUGUCCAAAGACUUCAGAAAACUUUCGACAAUUUUGUACCGGAGAGUAUAGAAAGGACGGUGUACCAUUAGGAUUCAAAGGCGCUAUAUUUCAUAGAGUAAUCAAAGACUUUAUGAUACAAGGAGGAGAUUUUGUAAAUGGUGAUGGUACAGGAGUAAUCAGCAUCUAUGGUGGAGGAACUUUCCCUGAUGAAAACUUUACCUUGAAACAUGACUCACCUGGAUUACUUUCCAUGGCGAAUAGCGGAAAGGAUACCAAUGGUUGUCAAUUUUUUAUUACAUGUGCUAAGUGUAAUUUUCUAGAUGGGAAGCAUGUAGUUUUUGGAAGAGUAAUUGACGGUUUAUUGGUCAUGAGAAAAGUAGAAAACGUUCCUACUGGGCCAAAUAACAAACCGAAGAUACCUGUAACAAUAUCGCAAUGCGGUCAAAUGUAAACCCAGUUAUACCAUAAGUUCUCAUGACAAACCAAAGUUUCAAAGCUCUGAAUCUUCUGCUCAGCGGUAUACCCCAAUGACGAUAAUCAAUGGAUUCACCUGAUCUAGCAUGUUGAAGGAUUCGUAUUAAAGGAAUCAGCAUGUUCGAUUCCAGCCAUGAAAGGUCUCAUCUCUGGACAAAUAAAUGAGUUACCAGCGUAAGCACCAUCCACGUGUAACCAUAUACUAGAAUAAAGCUUACAAACUGGUCCAAUUUCAACGAGAUUAUCAAAA